ensembl:snRNA U4 U4 spliceosomal RNA
AGCUUUGUGCAGUGGCAGUAUCACAGCCAAUGAGGUUUAUCCAAGGCAUGAUUAUUGCUCAUUGAAACAGAGUCAUUGUGCACAGAGAGUGAGAUUUGUAGUUAGCUACAUCUAGAUUUUUAAAUCCCCGCCCCACUGUUUACCAGUUGGAUAAAUUUGGG